UACGGGGGGUGCAAGCGUUGUUCGGAUUUACUGGGCGUAAAGGGCGCGUAGGCGGCCACCGCAAGUCGACUGUGAAAUCCCUCGGCUUAACCGGGGAACUGCGUCUGAUACUGGAUGGCUUGAGUUUGGGAGAGGGACGCGGAAUUCCAGGUGUAGCGGUGAAAUGCGUAGAUAUCUGGAGGAACACCGGUGGCGAAGGCGGCGUCCUGGACCAACACUGACACUGAUGAGCGAAAGCCAGGGGAGCAAACGGG
rnacentral:rRNA from 1 species